GACGUAGGGUGCGAGCGUUGUCCGGAUUUAUUGGGCGUAAAGAGCUCGUAGGCGGCUCGUCGCGUCGACCGUGAAAACCCGCGGCUUAACUGCGGGCUUGCGGUUGAUACGGGCGGGCUAGAGUUCGGUAGGGGAGACUGGAAUUCCUGGUGUAGCGGUGAAAUGCACAGAUAUCAGGAGGAACACCGGUGGCGAAGGCGGGUCUCUGGGCCGAUACUGACGCUGAGGAGCGAAAGCGUGGGGAGCGAACAGG
rnacentral:rRNA from 1 species